UACGUAGGGGGCAAGCGUUGUCCGGAUUUAUUGGGCGUAAAGAGCGUGUAGGCGGCGAGGUAGGUCCGUUGUGAAAACUCGAGGCUCAACCUCGAGACGUCGCUGGAAACCAUCUAGCUAGAGUCCGGCAGAGGAGAGUGGAAUUCCUGGUGUAGCGGUGAAAUGCGCAGAUAUCAGGAAGAACACCCGUGGCGAAGGCGGCUCCCUGGUACGGUACUGACGCUGAGGCGCGAAAGCGUGGGGAGCAAACAGG
rnacentral:rRNA from 1 species